rnacentral:rRNA from 1 species
UACGUAGGGUGCAAGCGUUAAUCGGAAUUACUGGGCGUAAAGCGUGCGCAGGCGGUUUUGUAAGACUGUCGUGAAAUCCCCGGGCUCAACCUGGGAAUGGCGAUGGUGACUGCAAGGCUAGAGUUUGGCAGAGGGGGGUAGAAUUCCACGUGUAGCAGUGAAAUGCGUAGAUAUGUGGAGGAACACCGAUGGCGAAGGCAGCCCCCUGGGUCAAAACUGACGCUCAUGCACGAAGACGUGGGGAGCAAACAGG